rnacentral:rRNA from 1 species
UACGAAGGGGGCUAGCGUUGUUCGGAAUUACUGGGCGUAAAGCGCGCGCAGGCGGUCUUCCAAGUCAGUGGUGAAAGCCCGGAGCUCAACUCCGGAACUGCCAUUGAAACUGUUGGACUUGAGUACGAGAGAGGUGAGUGGAAUUCCCCAGUGUAGAGGUGAAAUUCGUAGAUAUUGGGAAGAACACCGGUGGCGAAGGCGGCUUCCUGGUCUGCGACUGACGCUGUGGCGCGAAAGCUAGGGGAGCAAACGGGG